UCAGGAUGAACGCUGGCGGUAUGCCUAACACAUGCAAGUCGUACGAGAGUUUUUAACUCUAGUGGCGGACGGGUGAGUAACACGUGAGAAUUUGCCUUUAGGAGGGGGAUAACAAUUGGAAACGAAUGCUAAUACCCCAUAUGCUUUUGAGUGAAAUGGAUUUUAUCCGCCUAGAGAGAAGCUCGCGGCUGAUUAGCUUGUUGGUAAGGUAAGAGCUUACCAAGGCGACGAUCAGUAUCUGGUUUGAGAGGACGAUCAGACACACUGGAACUGAGACACGGUCCAGACUCCUACGGGAGGCAGCAGUGGGGAAUUUUCCGCAAUGGGCGAAAGCCUGACGGAGCAAUACCGCGUGAGGGAAGAAUGCCUAUGGGUUGUAAACCUCUUUUUUCAGGGAGGAAUAAAAUGACGUGUACCUGAAGAAUAAGCAUCGGCUAACUCCGUG
rnacentral:rRNA from 1 species